UCGAUACCUGGGGACUCUGCAUUUAGCAUCUCUUGCACACUGGCCUGCUCACCUGUCCCAGCUCAGCCCAGAACUAGAGCCCUUGACCUUUUGCCAGCCCCUUAGACUCUGAAAGCUGGGGUUUGGAGGGAGGGCCUUUCUGUGGGCUCAGAGACCACAGCAUGCCAGACUAGGGGUCAGGGAUGGGACCCUUUGCUGGCUGCAUGAGAGCUGGAACCACCCAUGACGCUCUCUGCUGGCCACUGUAGCAGCAGUGGCCUCCACGGUGUAUGUCAUCGUCCCUUCCUGCUGCUACAACAAAAUGCCACCAGUGGAGUAAUUUAUAAACCAUAGAAAUGUAUUUCUCACAGUUUUAGAGGAUGGAAAGUCCAACAUCAAGAUGCCAGCAGAUUCAGUGUCUUGUGUAGGCCUCUCUCUGCUUCCGAGAUGGAGCCUUGCCGUGCCCUCUGGAGGGGACAGAUGCUGUGUCCUCACAUGGUAGAAGAGUGGAAGAUCACAAUGAGCCGAACUAGUUCCCUCCUGCUCUUUUAUUGCUAUAAGAGCAUUAAUCCCAUUCACAAGGGUGGAGCCUUCAUGACCUAAUCACCUCCCAAAGGCCCCCCCUAACUUCUCAUACCAUUGCCUUGGGGUUUAUGUUCCAACAUAUGAAUGUUGGAAAGAUACAUACAUUCAAACCAUAGUGUGGCUACCAACUGUGGAGGAGUAGGGAGAGAGGGACAGACACAGGCCCCCACACAGGCCAGGUGUUCAUGUCAUUUCAUGCCUUGGUGCCCACCCAGAGCCAUGACUUCUGCAAGCCAGAGAGCAGGUCAGUCCAACCUGCAAUGCAUGGAGAGGGGUCUGAAGGACCCAGAGCUGCAAUAGCUCUGGCCUGGGGGGAACUAGAGGGAGGGCUGAGACACUCACGCAAUAGGUGAUUCCAUCAAUUUCCCCAAGUGGAAAGAGCCUCAUUGAAAAUGGAGCUGCCUGGUAAUGACGCCCAUUCUCUCAUCUCACAAGAACGUGACAUUACCCUCCUCCGAGAGAUGCACUGGGCUGGAAGGUUUUUAACAAGAUUUGUCAGCUGGUCUCCAAACCGGGAAUUGGUGCCCUGAGAGGAAUGAGCCUGGCACGGAUGCAGUCAGCGUGGAGCAGCAUUCGCAGCAACGGCAUUAAAUAUUAAAAGGCACAGCUGCCACUGUGCGUGAGCGUGCGGCCAAGGGGUGAUACCAGCGUGCGUGUGUGUCCCCAAGGGGAACCUGCCGGAGCGCGUGUGCGUGUGGCGCCCGCUGGUGUGGGCAUCCUAAUGAGGUUACCGAUGGGAAAACAGUCGGUUCCUGAAGGGGAGGAAUGUAACAGCAGUCAUGGAAAAGGCAGCCAGGCCAACCGCACAAACGCGCCACCUCAGCUGCAGAUACAUUUUUCUAGAAUCACUGGACAUAUCCAAAUAUUUACAGAGAAAACAAAACCCCCAGCAAUGUUCAUUCCCUCGAACUGCUGUGUCUCAGAAGUUCUGACCUCGGCUCGGUGCUGGCCUGAUCCCUGCUCCCCUGCCCGAGGCUCUCACGUGCCCAUCUUGAGCUUGAGGUCCUCGUCUCCCUCAUCCUUGCUGGCUGCAACCCCAGGUCAAGCUCAAGGCAUUCCCAGCUAGAAGCACCACACCUUUCUCAUCACAGACUCACAGAGCUCCAAGGGACCUCAAAGAUCAGCUGGGCCAAUCCCCCCGUCAUUUUCUACAUGGUGAAACUGAGGCCCAGCGGGGAGAAGCUGACUUGCCUGAAGAGGCGUUGCAACGUAGGGAUAUUGGUUAAACUUGCUUUGGGAGCCUGAGCAUCUGGCAGGGUUGCAGGAGGGUGUGGGGGAGAGCAGAGACUCUGGAGCUCUGCCGACUUGGAAUCUCAUCUCUACUGCUUCCCAGCUGUGUGACCUUCAGCUGUUGCUCAACUGCUCUGAGUCUUGGAUUUCUCAACUGCAAAAUGGAAAGGAUUUGUAUAAACACUUAGCACAAUGCCUGGAAUAUUGAGUGUGGUGGUAAGGAAUGGGGACUUUGCAGCCAGACUGCCUGGUUUGAACCCCAGCUCCACUACCUGGGCUGGUUACUUAGCCUCUCUGUACCUCAGUUUCUUAAUCUGUAUAAUAGGAAUAUUAAUGGUACCUAUGUCCUCGGAUUGUUGUGGAAGGCAACAAAUCCAUAUAUGUAAAAUGCUUAGAAAAACUUA